rnacentral:lncRNA from 1 species
UCGGGCAAUUAGAGUCUAAGAACCUUGAUCUCCCAUUAUGUUCUCAUCUCCAAACUCUUUAUCAAAAGAAGCCAUUCCUAAGGUAAAAAUCAAGGCAAAAACCCAAAAAGAGGAGAUAAGGAGGUUUAACCUUAGAAAAUAAUCGACGAUGGAGAAACCGACAAGAAAGGAGAAAACUGAUGAUGACAGAGAAAUCGAUAAGGAAGGAGAUGGCAGACGACGAUGAAGCCUAAACCACCCC